rnacentral:tRNA from 1 species
GCCGGAGUAGCUCAGGGGUAGAGCAACGCUCUCGUAAAGCGUAGGCCAGGGGUUCGAAUCCCCUCUCCGGCU